GGCUUUGUGGUCGAGUGGUGUCGAUACUUGCCUCCUACCCUGGAGUCACGGGUUCGAUCCUCGGUCGAGAGGCU